rnacentral:rRNA from 1 species
GACGAACGCUGGCGGCGUGCUUAACACAUGCAAGUCGAACGGAAAGGCCCUGCUUGCAGGGUGCUCGAGUGGCGAACGGGUGAGUAACACGUGGGUGAUCUGCCCCUUACUUUGGGAUAAGCCUGGGAAACUGGGUCUAAUACUGGAUAGGACCAUGCUGUAGGUGGUGUGGUGGAAAGAUUUUUUCGGUAAGGGAUGAGCUCGCGGCCUAUCAGCUUGUUGGUGGGGUAAUGGCCUACCAAGGCGUCGACGGGUAGCCGGCCUGAGAGGGUGGACGGCCACAUUGGGACUGAGAUACGGCCCAGACUCCUACGGGAGGCAGCAGUGGGGAAUAUUGCACAAUGGGCGCAAGCCUGAUGCAGCGACGCCGCGUGGGGGAUGACGGCCUUCGGGUUGUAAACUCCUUUCAGCCAUGACGAAGCCUCUUUUGGGGUGACGGUAGUGGUAGAAGAAGCACCGGCUAACUACG